AACGUAGGACGCAAGCGUUAUCCGGAGUACUGGGCGUAAAGCGCGGGCAGGCGGUCUUGCCAGUCUGAUGUGAAAUCUCCUCGCUCAACGGGGAGCAGCCAUUGGAAACUACAAGACUGGAGUCUGACAGAGGUAGGCGGAAUUCCGGGUGGAGUGGUGAAAUGCGUAGAGAUCCGGAGGAACACCAGAGGCGAAGGCGGCCUACUGGGUCAGUACUGACGCUGAGGCACGGAAAGC
rnacentral:rRNA from 1 species